rnacentral:rRNA from 1 species
ACGCUCGACACCUACGGGGGCAGCAGUGAGGAAUAUUGGUCAAUGGGCGCAGGCCUGAACCAGCCAAGUAGCGUGAAGGAUGACUGCCCUAUGGGUUGUAAACUUCUUUUAUAUGGGAAUAAAGUUUUCCACGUGUGGAAUUUUGUAUGUACCAUAUGAAUAAGGAUCGGCUAACUCCGUGCCCGCAGCCGCGGUAAUCUGAGCGGGCGUGGCGAACGGCG